AAGACUAUACUUUCAGGGAUCAUUUCUAUAGUUUGUUACUAGAGAAGUUUCUCUGACUGUGUAAAAGGUACUUG
ensembl:snoRNA U3 Small nucleolar RNA U3